rnacentral:rRNA from 1 species
GAUGAACGCUGGCGGCGUGCCUAACACAUGCAAGUCGAACGAAGCAAUUAAGAUGAAGUUUUCGGAUGGAAUCUUGAUUGACUGAGUGGCGGACGGGUGAGUAACGCGUGGAUAACCUGCCUCACACUGGGGGAUAACAGUUAGAAAUGACUGCUAAUACCGCAUAAGCGCACAGUGCCGCAUGGCAGUGUGUGAAAAACUCCGGUGGUGUGAGAUGGAUCCGCGUCUGAUUAGCCAGUUGGCGGGGUAACGGCCCACCAAAGCGACGAUCAGUAGCCGACCUGAGAGGGUGACCGGCCACAUUGGGACUGAGACACGGCCCAA